AAGUCCCUUGUGCACCAAAAGAUGCAAGUUGCCAGACCAAGAUGAAGAGGUGUAUUCUCCUGGAUCCUUGGGUGGCUCAAUUCAGGCUGGCUGAGUUCAUUGCACUGGCUGUGGGCAGGGGCAGCCUGCCAGCACAACUUCACUUUCUGUGGAUAUGGCACUGACUGACAAGCUGCUGGCAACAGUAGUUCUCGCUUGGUGUUUUCGUAGCUCAUCGUAGAUGAGUGAGUAAGUGCACAGCCCCAUGUGCACAGAUACGCACCAAUUACUUUGUCAUGCCAUCCAGUUAGGAGCUUGAUGAAGAUCACCGUGGUGCAUCUUCCCCCCCAGUUUUCCCCAGUGGAAGACUUCAGGGCUUUGGAGGGCACAUGCAAGCAUGUCACUCUCUUCAGCGAGCAUUUACUUCUUCUUUGUCAGAGCCUUGCAAACUCAGCUUCAAGCACAGAUGGGCCCAAGUAGACAUUUUCAUUUGAAUUCAGUAAGUCUCCUCGGACUGUGGUUCAGUCAAGAGCAAAGCAGGAGUUCUGCUAAAUUAAGCUGCUGUCUGUGGAAGAACUAAUGCAAUUUUUAGUGUUGAGAAACACUGUGGUUUGAUAGGCUUGGCACAUAGGUGGAAUUGCUACUGCACUGUCAUGACAGAUAGCCUUAAAUCAUUUGCUUAGCUCUAAUAUAGGAAUGUAUGAUACUUGUCUUCUUCCAUAACAAUUUUGAUCCUCUCUCAUCUGACAAAACAGCUAUCUUCUUAGUAGGAGAGAAACACGAAGUCUUCUAUUUCUUCAUUAGAAAAGUAACCGUGUUAGUAAAUGUUGCAAAUCGUUGUAUUAUUUGUAACAAAGUAUUACAAUAAAAAGCCCACAGAUGCUCAUUGAUAAUUUAUAGCCUCACUCUACAGCUGGUUUACCAUGGAGCAAAAGAGAAUUUACCAUUGCUUCUGCGUGGAGAAACCCUAGAGAUUGAUAAAUCAUUUCUCAGCAAAAGAAUCUGCGAAGUUACCUGUAGGUGUGAUCCCAGAAAUGGUUUUGGCUUUCUUUUCAAAAUCAGUAUUUCUUUUGAUACAUAGAAGUAUUGUUUUCCAUAUCAGUAAUCCUUUUAAAUAUCCUAUAAAAUGGUUCUGGUAAUUACUGGAAAGCUGUCUUCAUAGAGCUGCUUGAAAUAUAUGUUGUAUUUUUCUGUGCUGCUUCAUGCCAUAGGCACUGGGUCUCCUACCUGCCCCCCUGGUGAGCAGGGCUACUCAACCUGUUCCGUGCAUUGGCUCUCCCUGGAGCUCACUGCUCUUUGUGGAAAGAAUCAAGGGUACCUCAUUGAGGAAAUUCUCAGCACAGCUCCUGGGACAGGCGGUAGAAGCAUUUCACAUGCUAAUACUCUACUCACAGUUGCAGUUGUGUCAUUCAGACGAGUACCUUCUGAUUUAGAGAUGUGAGAACAAAAUGUAGCCCUGUUAACUUGUCUGUCAAUUAUCAGUAGGCAGAUCCUAGAUAAUUAAAAACAAACUUCUUCUUAACAGACAGUGGGAAUCAAUUCUUUGCAUGGUUCUAAUUUAUUGUAUUUCACAGAGAAGGUGAUUCAGAAUCCUGAUUAUUUUUAUUCUCUGUAAGCCCUUUGAAGUCACAGAAUGACAUAAAAUGAUGACUGAGCCUAGCAAUUGACAGGGAUCGAGACAGUUUUUCUCUCCAUCAUGAAACGGAAUGGAGUGUUAUGAAAAGGUUAUCUUCUGCUUUUUGUUUAGGAAAGAAGAGUCAAACUGCGAAACAGAACACUAAAGAAAGGGAAAGCUGCGUUCUGAAAUAGGCAGAGAGAGACCAUUUCAACUCUUCCCAAUUUGCUAGAAAAUAUCUUUACCUCUCUCAUCAUUGCCUUUCAUUUUCCCCUCUCUCAACUCUGUUAAAAUAGUCACUGAGGCUCAUGCCUGAAACUACAGCAACUAAACAGCUUUAGUGUGGGGUGAAUUUGUAACAGGAUUGUUAUAAUUUGUGUCUGGGGACUGGAAAGAACUGUACAUCAUUAUGCAAAUAUAUAUGCAAUAGGCUAAGCGGUGAAACAAAAAGGAAAAGAAAGGAAAUCCCUCAUGGACAGACCAGAGAAUCAACGCAAGAAUUUCCUCUGAAGCAAUUCUGUCACGUUGUGAGAAUACAUGCUUGGACCAUUUUAAUACUUUUUAUUAUUUACUCAGUGGACCAUAACGGCUCUGAAGCUUACUGCAGUGUUUAUUCAAUAGACUAACUCUGUUUUUUUUGUUGUUGUUGUUUUGUUUUGUUUUGUUUUUUUUGCCUACCAUGUAAAUAUGUAUUUGAGUAAUUCUGAAAGGGUGUAUUUUACUCAAUGUACCAUAGUGGCUUCUCUGGAGCCUGUUAUGUUGUACAGUAUUUUCUAGUUUGCUGCAGCCCCUAUGUUAAUACAGAUAUGGUGAUCUUCAUGGCGUGCUUUUUAACUCUGCUCCAAGGACUGCUUCCCUAAGUCUCUGAGGUGCCUGAAUGGAAUAUCAGAUGGCUCCAAGCAGUUUCAUAUUGUGCCAGGCUUCUGUCUCACUCUUCAAAAAUGAAAACCUUCUGGAGAUGUGAAGGUGGGAAUUCCACCACUGUCCAAAGACUCCUGAAGGAGCCUACAGAUAAACUAGCGUGAAAGAGGCUCAAUUCUCUCCAGUCUCCAGUAGUCUCUGCAUGCUUGCUUAAAUAUUUAUUUUUCUGAUUUAUCUAUGAAUAUCUCAAUGACAUUAACUUAAGCAGAAAGAAUUCAAUGUAUUU
rnacentral:lncRNA from 7 species